rnacentral:lncRNA from 1 species
UCCUCUGAAUCCCUAAAGCUCUCAAAGCCCUCUCAAACCCUAAACCGUCUCCGGCUAUCUCGCCGGCAUUCAUGGCCGCCCAAGACCUAAAGCUCCUUCACUCGUUCACUCUUCACCUAUCCUGGUCUUUGGGUUCGAAGAUCAAAGCUGUAUUUCAAGGGUGGUUGGACCAGAGGUCCUCCGAUGGGUUUUUGCAGCUGUGUGUGGUCUUUCUCCGACAAGUCUUAAGGCUCUGAGUCCAUUGACGACUCCGGCGAGUCCGUUACAAGCUUUUCUCGCCAUUUCAAGACUUUUUUGUGAAAACCCUAACUUCUCGAGAUUUUUCUCUGUGUUUAUUUUUAUGAUUCUCUCUGAGUCCUAGCUAUUUUAUAAAAGUUUCAUAGUUUUCUCAUCUCUUCUUCGCCUAUUUAUGUUUUCAAGUUGUUCGUCCUUUUAAACCUAGGGUUUUCUAUGACUUUCCAUGAUUUCUCUGGUUUCGUUGCUCUAUUUGCAACUGUGUGUUCUUUUCUAUGUCUUUACUAUGAUUUUUAAGCAUUUUCUACCAUGACUCUAGGGUGUUUUGCUUUACUGUUUACUUUCUAGGGUUUUCAGUUCAUGUAUUCUAUGCUUUCUUCGUGUUGUUUUGCUGUUUGUUCAUCUUCAUCUGUUAUAUUCUUACUCCCUGAUAUGCGGUGGAAAUCCUAGCUCAAAGGGUCCUUUCCAUUGUCUCCGUGUGAAACCCUAGCCGCCUCUGGCUGCUUCCUUGUGUUUUGCCACAUGUUAUUCUAAUUGCUUCCAGUUUUGUAUGUUGAAAUCUAUGCCUCUUUUAUAUUGUCACACUUUCCCUUUUCUGAAACCCUAAUUGAUUUCGUAUAGCUGUUUGGUUCUUUAAUUGAUCCCUAUUUUCUGACUAAGUGCAAAUGGUUGGUAUGUUGUCUCCUUGAUUUCCUGGGUGAUUACUUGCCUUGUGUGUUUUACCCGUGGUUUUCAAAUUCUUUAUAUGAAUGUACCCUAUAUUCUGUGAUUAAUACCUGAUUUUUCUUUUCCAAAAUAGACCAAAGCUUAUUUAUUUCUAGCCGGUUCCUUAAUUAAAGGGAACCUUCUCCUUAAUUGUGUAUGAUUGGUACUGCUGAAUAUUUUCUUGCCUUAAGUGUUACAUCUCUUCCAAACUAUAAAUAGGCCUUCACUUCUUCUCACUAACAUAUACACGAGUUCCCUCUACUCUUACUCACUAAUACUUUCUGCUUUUCUCUUUCUUCUCUAUUACUUGCUCUCUAUUGUUAAGGAAUUGCCGCCUGAAAGCCAAGGCUAAUUACAAGGAUUCUCUUUGCUUUGUUACUCAAGUUUGCACUCGUAGGCUCCUAAUUUGAAUUAUCUGUUUGUUUUCCCCUCUUCUUUGUCUGUUAUGUUAUUUCAACUUAAGCUCUUGUAUGUUCAAUCCCUUCCCCUUG